AAAGGAAUUGACGGGGACCCGCACAAGCAGCGGAGCAUGUGGUUUAAUUCGAAGCAACGCGAAGAACCUUACCAGGGCUUGACAUCCCUCUGACAGGUGGGUAACGCCACCCUCCCUUCGGGGCGGAGGAGACAGGUGGUGCAUGGUUGUCGUCAGCUCGUGUCGUGAGAUGUUGGGUUAAGUCCCGCAACGAGCGCAACCCUUGUCAUUAGUUGCCAUCAGGUAAAGCUGGGCACUCUAGUGAGACUGCCGGGGAUAACUCGGAGGAAGGUGGGGAUGACGUCAAAUCAUCAUGCCCCUUAUGUUCUGGGCUACACACGUGCUAAAAUGGCCGGUACAGAGAGAGGCAAACCCGCGAGGGGGAGCAAAACUCAAAAGCCGGUCCCAGUUCGGAUUGCAGGCUGAAACUCGCCUGCAUGAAGUCGGAGUUGCUAGUAAUCGCGAAUCAGAAUGUCGCGGUGAAUACGUUCCCGGGUCUUGCACACACCGCCCGU
rnacentral:rRNA from 1 species